AGCUCCUUCGGGAGUGAGUAAAGCGGCGAACGGUUGAGUAAUACGUAAGAAUCUGCCCUUCAGUGAAGAAUACCUUUGAGAAAUCGAAGUUAAUGCUGCAUAAUCCCCCUUGGGGGCAAAGGUGGCCUCUUUGCUACCGCUGAAGGAUGAGCUUGCGGCCUAUCAGCUUGUUGGUGAGGUAAAAGCUUACCAAGGCUAUGACGGGUAGCCGGCCUGAGAGGGUGGUCGGCCAGACUGGAACUUAGACACGGUCCAGACUCCUACGGGAGGCAGCAGUGGGGAAUCUUGCGCAAUGGGCGAAAGCCUGACGCAGCGACGCCGCGUGGAGGAUGAAGGUCUUCGGAUUGUAAACUUCUGUUAAGUGGGAAGAAAUAGUCAUGUUAAAUAAACAUGAAAGAUGACGGUACCAUUAGAGAAAGCACCGGCUAAUCUCGUGCCAGCAGCCGCGGUAAUACGAGAGGUGCUAACGUUAUUCGGAAUUACUGGGCGUAAAGGGUGCGUAGACGGCGUAGCAAGUCCGUUGUUAAAUUUUCCGGCCCAACCGGAAGUCAGCGAUGGAAACUGCCAUGCUAGAGGUUAGAAGAGAGAAGUGGAAUUCUCGGAGUAGCGGUAAAAUGCGUAGAUAUCGAGAGGAACACCGAUGGCGAAAGCAGCUUCUUGGUCUAGCCUGACGUUGAGGCACGAAAGCGAGGGUAGCAAACAGGAUUAGAUACCCUGGUAGUCCACGCCGUAAACGAUGAUCACUAAACGUUGGUUCUGCUUAGCAGAAUUAGUGUUGUAGCUAACGCGCUAAGUGAUCCGCCUGGGGAUUACGGUCGCAAGACUAAAACUUAAAGGAAUUGACGGGGGUCCGCACAAGCGGUGGAACAUGUGGUUUAAUUCGACACUACGCGAGGAACCUUACCUAGGCUUGACAUGCAUAUGACAGCUGUAGAAAUACAGUCUUUCUGCGAAAGCCUGAACAUUUGCACAGGUGCUGCAUGGCUGUCGUCAGCUCGUGUCGUGAGAUGU
rnacentral:rRNA from 1 species